rnacentral:rRNA from 1 species
UACGUAGGGAGCUAGCGUUGUUCGGAAUUACUGGGCGUAAAGCGCGCGUAGGCGGCUUUGUAAGUUAGAGGUGAAAGCCCGGGGCUCAACCCCGGAACUGCCUUUGAUACUGGUAGUCUUGAGUUCGAGAGAGGUGAGUGGAAUUCCGAGUGUAGAGGUGAAAUUCGUAGAUAUUCGGAAGAACACCAGUGGCGAAGGCGACUCACUGGACACGUAUUGACGCUGAGGUGCGAAAGCGUGGGGAGCGAACAGG